GCGAUUCUCCAGCCUCAGCCUCCCGACUAGCUGGGAUUACAGGAGUCCCAGGACACUGGAACCAGGACUCCCCAUCGCGCCCCGGCAGUUUCCGAGCUCCUUUGAAGUAUGCGUCAGAACUUAUGGAUGGGAAUCCUGGAGCCACCACUUGCCCUAUGAUGGCAAUGGGCAAGUCGCUCAACCUCCCAGAUCCUGUUUUCUCAUGGGUAAAACGGGGAUUAUAAUACCACCUGACAAUAUUAUUUUUGUGAGGAUUAAAUGAUUUUAGAAUGUAAA